AGCACUCAAAGAAAAUAUCCCCUUAGAUAUAUUGCCAAAAUUGACUCUUACAAGGUACUACUGAAGGAAUCCAAACACCAGAAGGCACUAAGUUUCAGAAGUUUAGUCCAAAUUGUCAUCAUGGCAGGGAGCAUGGCAACAUGCAGGCAAACAUAUGUGGGGCUGUUGCUGUAAGGGAAGAGGGGAGAGGGAAAGAGUGCCCUAGUCCCACCAGGAUUUCUGUGCUCUGGGUAGGCAGAUACAGGAGGACUGCCCCAGGUGGACAUCUGGCUGUGUGAAGCCAAUGACAUCACAAAGCAGGGGUGGGGGGUGUGAACAAGGGGCAGCCCCCAAUAUCAGGGGCUCCAGGAUGACACACUCAGUCCCAGAGAUACAAGAAGAGGGAAGAAGGAGAGAGGUUCCCACGCAGGUGAGAGUCCUUAGUCUUGUCUGUGGCUGGAACACUGGAAGGCCUUCUGAAGGGAGAUUAGGCACAGCUCAUUAGGAAAAAGCCUAUCUCAUCAUCCAAGCACAGUGGGCCUUGAUGAACAGAGACAGUCUAUGGUUUUAGAACUUCAUUGUAGAAAGUCAGGGGGAAAGAGAAAAGGUAAAAAGAGAGAGAGACUGGCCAUGCCCAAGAAGAGAGAGGGGAAAAGAAAGAAAGAAAGAAAGAAAGAAAAAAAGAAAGAAAGAAAGAAAGAAAGAAAGAAAGAAAGAAAGAAAGAAAGAAAGGAAGGAAGGAAGGAAGGAAGGAAGGGAGAGUAAGAAAGGUAAAGGCCUAGAGAGAGAAAAGCUUAGAGAGUAAGCGGGAGAGUAAGGAAAGUAAAAGCUUAAGAGAGCCAAGAGGGGCCAAGCAGCCCCUGUUAUAGUGGGCUGUGUUAUCUUGCUGUUGCUAGGUAACUGGAAGCAGUCUAGCCUGGAGGUCAGAAGCUUGGGACAUGGUCUACAUGACUACUAGCCACACAUUUCUCCUGUGGGGGCUGUAGGGGUGGUAAGUUCGACAGGAGCCAGGGGUCCAGGAGACAUGAGGGAACACCUUCCAUCCCAUGUAGGUGAAAAUGAUCACCACCAGGUCCUACCUCAGCUCUACUGGUGACCAGACUGUCUGUGCAUAGCCCAUUGCCCCACAGACAUCGUGCUGGAGAAGUUGCUGGCAGUUCUACAUCUUGAUUCACAGAUAUUCUGCCUGGAAGAUUAAAAUCCUAAAACUGACAAUGAAGCCAAAUAGCACAACAAAUGGAGAAAGCUGAACUACACAGAACAUGGCUACAGAUGGUUAAAUCCAGGCCUCAUUAUUAAUGUUCAGCACUGAGAAAACUCAGGGCAAGAAGCAAAGACAGGACUGUGGAGGCGGGAAUCGUGAGGUAAGCCUGGUGAGUGGCUUGUUCUCUGUGUCUUCACAGAUUCCUUGAUUGUAUAGUGCAAGCCUGGCUGCGA
rnacentral:lncRNA from 1 species